CCUACGGGAGGCAGCAGUAAGGAAUAUUGGUCAAUGGGCGCAAGCCUGAACCAGCCAUGCCGCGUGCAGGAUGACGGCCCUCUGGGUUGUAAACUGCUUUUAUACGGGAAGAACAGCAUCUACGUGUAGGUGUUUGACGGUACUGUAAGAAUAAGGACCGGCUAACUUCGUGCCAGCAGCCGCGGUAAUACGAAGGGUCCAAGCGUUAUCCGGAUUUAUUGGGUUUAAAGGGUGCGUAGGCGGCUUUUUAAGUCAGUGGUGAAAGCCUGAUGCUCAACAUCAGAACUGCCAUUGAUACUGAAGAGCUUGAGUACAGUUGAGGUUGGCGGAAUGUGUCAUGUAGCGGUGAAAUGCUUAGAUAUGACACAGAACACCGAUUGCGAAGGCAGCUAGCUAAGCUGUUACUGACGCUGAUGCACGAAAGCGUGGGGAGCAAACAGGAUUAGAUACCCUGGUAGUCCACGCCCUAAACGUUGAUAACUCGUUGUUAGCGAUAUACUGUUAGCGACCAAGCGAAAGCAUUAAGUUAUCCACCUGGAAGACGGUCGCAGAUUGAACUUAAGGAAUUGACGGNGUGAGAGNGCGAGGACGACGACGAGGGAGGAGG
rnacentral:rRNA from 1 species